AGCGAACGCUGGCGGCGUGGCUAAGACAUGCAAGUCGAACGGACCGCAAGGUCAGUGGCGGAAGGGUGAGUAAUGUAUGGGUAACCUGCCCCGGACAGUGGGAUAGCCAAGGGAAACUUUGGGUAAUACCGCAUAAAGUCCCUGGGAGGCAUCUUCCGGGGACCAAAGGUCCGCCGGUUCGGGAGGGGCCCAUAUCCUAUCAGCUUGUUGGCGGGGUAACGGCCCACCAAGGCUGCGACGGGUAGCCGGACUGAGAGGUCGGCCGGCCACAUCGGGA
rnacentral:rRNA from 1 species